GACGAACGCUGGCGGCGUGCCUAAUACAUGCAAGUCGAGCGCGGGAAACCGUCUGAACCCUUCGGGGGGACGACGGCGGAAUGAGCGGCGGACGGGUGAGUAACACGUAAAGAACCUGCCCAUAGGUCUGGGAUAACCACGAGAAAUCGGGGCUAAUACCGGAUGUGUCAUCGGACCGCAUGGUCCGCUGACGAAAGGCGCUUCGGCGUCGCCCAUGGAUGGCUUUGCGGUGCAUUAGCUAGUUGGUGGGGUAAUGGCCCACCAAGGCGACGGUGCAUAGCCGACCUGAGAGGGUGAUCGGCCACACUGGGACUGAGACACGGACCAGACUCCUACGGGAGGCAGCAGUAGGGAAUCUUCCACAAUGGACGACAGUCUGAUGGAGCAACGCCGCGUGAACGAUGAAGGCUUUCGGGUCGUAAAGUUCUGUUGUAAGGGAAGAACAAGUGCCGCAGGCAAUGGCGGCACCUUGACGGUACCUUGCGAGAAAGCCACGGCUAACUACGUGCCAGCCGCCGCAGUAAGAC
rnacentral:rRNA from 1 species